UCUCAUCUCAGGUCUCUUUGGAAGAGAACUUUGAAGCAUAAACAUGAAAAGGAACAAUGCGAUGCAUUUGUGCGAUUUCUUGGAUGGGACUGGAUUGCAUAGGCAUUUUGUAGGAACAAGUUGGAGGCCAUUGAAGAAGAUAACUGCAGCAACUAUAAUCUUCUUGUUGUUGAUCUUCUUUGUUGCUGCGUUGGUACCUGCAGGCUGGAUCGAUGCUGUAAGUUCCAUGAACUCCAAUCGUGCUAGCUAUAUAUAAAGUUCUAACAUAGGCGUUCUAUCUUCAGUCACAGUGUUUUUGUGUGUGUGUUUUGUUUUGAUUUUUUAGAGUAAAACUAAUAGGACCAAGAUUUCAAAAACUGGAAAUAUUUGAAUCGGGUUUACCAGUCACCUUGUUUUUUUAGAGUAAAACUAAUAGGACCAAGAUCUCUCUAACUAAGGUGAAACUUAGGUUUCUUAGUUCCACCUCUAUUAGAUCGGUGGUCGGAGAUUGUUUUCUUUUAGUUCGAAGGAGAGCGUGCCUGCCUUAGAUAUGAGGGAGAGCGAGAGUCAAAUUUUCGUGACAAGUAUGUGAGCAACUAAUUAAGUGAGAAUUGCCUAAGAAUGUGUAUACUGAACUGAUAUUACUAAGAAACGAAAUAUUAGUUAUCAGAAAAGGAAUACAAAGAAGAUUUAUUGAAGUAUAACUCAUAUAUAGCUUUGUAUUGCAUAGAAAAGUUCUUUGUAUCAAAAUCUCUCCUUUGAUACUAACGUAUACAAUUUAUGUUUUUCUCUCUUAGUUUAUAUUUUCAGGCGCUUAUUCUAAGAAAUCAAUCACAACAACCAGAAACACAACCACACCCAAGAGACCUGAAUUCCCACUGC
rnacentral:lncRNA from 1 species